rnacentral:rRNA from 1 species
AGUGGCGAAUAUUGGACAAUGGGCGCAAGCCUGAUCCAGCAAUGCCGCGUGUGUGAAGAAGGUUUUCGGAUUGUAAAGCACUUUCAGCGGGGACGAUGAUGACGGUACCCGCANAAGAAGCCCCGGCUAACUUCGUGCCAGCAGCCGCGGUAAUACGAAGGGGGCAAGCGUUGCUCGGAAUGACUGGGCGUAAAGGGCGCGUAGGCGGUUGACACAGUCANAUGUGAAAUUCCCGGGCUUAACCUGGGGGCUGNAUUUGAUACGUGGCGACUAGAGUGUGAGAGAGGGUUGUGGAAUUCCCAGUGUANAGGUGAAAUUCGUAGAUAUUG